rnacentral:lncRNA from 10 species
UUUUAAGGCACUAGUUGCAGGAACAGAGAUUUCUUUCUGCUAAAUGAAUCUUGACAGAUUCAUUUCCAUCGGAAUACAUCGUCUUCAACGACAGGUGACCAACCCACUAGGAAUAUCUCUGUAAAACUAAUACAGUUGACCCUUGAACAACAGACUUGUAAUGCAUGGAUCCACUUAUACACGGAUUUUCUUCAGUCUCUGCCACCCCUGAAACAGCAAGACUAAGCUCUCCUAUUCCUCCUCCUCCUCAACCUACCCAAUGUGAAGACAACAAGGAUGAAGACCUUUAUGAUGCUCCACUUCCACUUAAUGAACACUAAGUGUAUUUUCUUGUUCUUAUGAUUUUCUUAAUAACAUUUUCUUUUCUCUAGCUUAUUUUAUUGUAAUAAUACAGAAUAUAAUACAUACAUGUACGAAAUGUGUGUUAAUCAAUUGUUCAUUUAUUGGUAAGGCU